CCAAAGGCUCUUUUCAGAGCCACCCACUUCGCCGUAGAAAGAGCUGU
rfam:Callipepla squamata strain Texas jcf7180005230685, whole genome shotgun sequence.